CCUCUAUCUUCUUUGUUACUCACUGUAUGACACGUUCAUAGAUCAAUUCCCUCUAUCUUCUUUGAUCCACGGAGGUGGCAAAGGAACUCUAUCAAACGCCAUAAGAAGUUUGAUACCUUUUAGUUAAAUUCAGGUACCUAUUUGGCUUAAAACAUCAAUGCAAUCUUUUAAAAGACCAAAUAAAAAUUAAGAUUCAAAGGGUCGUCGUCAUCAUCAUCAUCAUAAUGGUUGCGGAUCUAAUGAUUGAUUAUCUUUAAGGUGUAAUAACAAAUAGAGUAUUGUUGUCGUUGUUGGUGGAAAUGACUUAGUAGUGCUUUACUCUCAAGUAUUAGAAUCCAUAAGAAAGGUGAAAUUUUGUUGCUAUUUGCCCCCAUAAUCGAUUUACACUUUAUUUUGUGGUCAAUUUUAUGCGAUUUCUAAAUCUUUCUUCUAUUUGGUUAUGGAAAUUUGAGAAAAUUUAGGAUUUUUUUAUGUUGACUAUGGUUUUCGAUUGUUG
rnacentral:lncRNA from 1 species